rnacentral:tRNA from 1 species
GAGGGUACAGCUCAAGUGGUAGAGCAUGUGCUUAGCAUGCAUGAGGUCCUGAGUUCAAUCCCCAGUACCUCCU